AACGUAGGUGGCGAGCGUUAUCCGGAAUUAUUGGGCGUAAAGAGCUUGUAGGCGGUCUGUCGCGUCUGCUGUGAAAAUCCGGGGCUCAACCCCGGACUUGCAGUGGGUACGGGCAGACUAGAGUGUGGUAGGGGAGACUGGAAUUCCUGGUGUAGCGGUGAAAUGCGUAGAUAUCAAGAGGAACACCUGAGGUGAAGACGGGUUGCUGGGCUGAUACUGACGCUGAGGCGCGAAAGCUAGGGUAGCAAACGGG
rnacentral:rRNA from 1 species